UUUUCGAAGAAGUGAAGAACAAUGAAGGGCCUCAAGUUCCAACCAUUGAUUUGAUGGAAAUUGAAUCAGAGGACAGAGUGGUCCGGGAGAAAUGCCGGGAAGAAAUAGUCAAGGCAGCUAAAGAGUGGGGUGUUAUGCACCUUGUCAACCAUGGAAUUCCUGAUGAUUUAAUCGAUCGUGUCAGGAAAGCUGGCCAGGCUUUCUUUGAUCUCCCGAUUGAGGAAAAAGAGAAGUAUGCUAAUGAUCAGGCUUCAGGAAAUGUUCAAGGGUAUGGAAGCAAGCUAGCUAACAAUGCCAGCGGGCAGCUUGAGUGGGAGGACUAUUUUUUCCAUCUCAUUUUCCCCGAGGACAAGCGUGACAUCUCCGUAUGGCCCAAGACACCUAGUGAUUAUACGUAAGGUUUUUUUUUUUUUUUUUAAAGGCUAUUUAGCAUUAAGGUUCAACCUGUUUUUAAAAAAGUUUAAACUUUCUUUUAAAAAAAAUACAUUAUUGACAUGCUUUUCGACACAAAAAACUAUUUGAAGAGUGGGGUGUUAUGCACCUUGUCAACCAUGGAAUUCCUGAUGAUUUAAUCGAUCGUGUCAGGAAAGCUGGCCAGGCUUUCUUUGAUCUCCCGAUUGAGGAAAAAGAGAAGUAUGCUAAUGAUCAGGCUUCAGGAAAUGUUCAAGGGUAUGGAAGCAAGCUAGCUAACAAUGCCAGCGGGCAGCUUGAGUGGGAGGACUAUUUUUUCCAUCUCAUUUUCCCCGAGGACAAGCGUGACAUCUCCAUAUGGCCCAAGACACCUAGUGAUUAUACG
rnacentral:lncRNA from 1 species